UACGUAGGGGGCUAGCGUUGUCCGGAAUCAUUGGGCGUAAAGAGCGUGUAGGCGGCCCGGUAAGUCCGCUGUAAAAGUCAAAGGCUCAACCUUUGAAUGUCAGUGGAUACUGCCGGGCUAGAGUCCGGAAGAGGCGAGUGGAACUCCUGGUGUAGCGGUGAAAUGCGCAGAUAUCAGGAGGAACACCAAUGGCGAAGGCAGCUCGCUGGAACGGUACUGACGCUGAGGCGCGAAAGCGUGGGGAGCGAACAGG
rnacentral:rRNA from 1 species